rnacentral:rRNA from 1 species
AGUGAACGCUGGCGGUAGGCCUAACACAUGCAAGUCGAACGGCCGCACAGUAAGAUCUUGCUCUUACGGGUGGCGAGUGGCGGACGGGUGCGGAAUAGAUCAGCAACUACUUUUUCGUGGGGGACAACGUAGGGAAACUUAUGCUAAUACCGAAUACAACCUACGGGUGAAAGCAGUGGAUCUUCGGACCUUUCGCGAUUGAAUGAGCCGAUGUCGGAUUAGCUAGUUGGCGUGGUAAAGGCCCACCAAGGCGACGAUCCGUAGCUGAUCUGAGAGGAUGAUCGGCCACACUGGAACUGAGACACGGUCCAGACUCCUACGGGAGGCAGCAGUGGGGAAUAUUGGACAAUGGGCGCAAGCCUGAUCCAGCCAUACCGCGUGAGUGAUGAAGGCCUUCGGGUUGUAAAGCCCUUUUGUUGGGAAAGAAAAGCAGCAGGUUAAUACCCCGCUGUUCUGACGGUACCCAAAGAGUAAGCACCGGCUAACUUCGUG